GAUUUCAACAAUGAAGCGUGUGGGGAAAUGGUGAGUAACAUGUGGGGAAUUUGCCCAGAAGCAGGGGAUAACACUUGGAAACAGGUGGUAAUACCGUAUAACAACAAAAUCCGCAUGGAUUUUGUUUGAAAGGGGGAUUUGGCUAUCACUUUUGGAUGAUCCCGCGGCGUCUUAGUUAGUUGGUGAGGUAAAGGCCCACCAAGACGAUGAUAAGUAGCCGACCUGAGAGGGUAAUUGGCCACAUUGGGAAUGAGACACGGCCCAAACUCCUACGGGAGGCAGCAGUAGGGAAUUUUCCACAAUGGACGAAAGUUUGAUGGAGCAAUGCCGCCUGAGUGAAGAAGGGUUUCGGCUCGUAAAACUCUGUUGUUAAAGAAGAACACCUUUGAGAGUAACUGUUCAAGGGUUGACGGUAUUUAACCAGAAAGCCACGGCUAACUACGUGCCAGCAGCCGCGGUAAUACGUAGGUGGCAAGCGUUGUCCGGAUUUAUUGGGCGUAAAGCGAGCGCAGGCGGUUUUUUAAGUCUGAUGUGAAAGCCUUCGGCUUAACCGGAGAAGUGCAUC
rnacentral:rRNA from 2 species